UACGUAGGAGGCAAGCGUUGUCCGGAAUCACUGGGCGUAAAGCGCGUGUAGGUGGAGCAGGAAGUCUGCUGUGAAAGCGCCUGGCUUAACCGGGCGAGGUCGGUGGAAACUCCUGGUCUAGAGGCCGGUAGAGGGGGGUGGAAUUCCGGGUGUAGUGGUGAAAUGCGUAGAUAUCAGGAGGAACACCUGUGGUGUAGACAGCUUACUGGACCACUUCUGACGCUGAGACACGAAAGCGUGGGUAGCAAACAGG
rnacentral:rRNA from 1 species